AGUAGACCUUACAGUGAAAUGCUGAAUACAACAGGUGUAGUAAACCUUACAGUGAAAUGCUGAAUACAACAGGUGUAGUAGACCUUACAGUGAAAUGCUGAAUACAACAGGUGUAGUAGACCUUACAGUGAAAUGCUGAAUACAACAGGUGUAGUAAACCUUACAGUGAAAUGCUGAAUACAACAGGUGUAGUAGACCUUACAGUGAAAUGCUGAAUACAACAGGUGUAGUAGACCUUACAGUGAAAUGCUGAAUACAACAGGUGUAGUAGACCUUACAGUGAAAUGCUGAAUACAACAGGUGUAGUAAACCUUACAGUGAAAUGCUGAAUACAACAGGUGUAGUAGACCUUACAGUGAAAUGCUGAAUACAACAGGUGUAGUAAACCUUACAGUGAAAUGCUGAAUACAACAGGUGUAGUAGACCUUACAGUGAAAUGCUGAAUACAACAGGUGUAGUAGACCUUACAGUGAAAUGCUGAAUACAACAGGUGUAGUAAACCUUACAGUGAAAUGCUGAAUACAAC